CCUACGGGUGGCAGCAGUGGGGGAUAUUGCACAAUGGGCGAAACCCUGAUGCAGCGACGCCGCGUGAGUGAAGAAGUAUUUCGGGAUGUAAAGCUCUAUUAGCAGGGAAGAAAAGGACAGUACCUGUACCAGAAGCGCCGGCUAAAUACGUGCCAGCAUCCGCGGUCAUCCGUAGGGGGCAAGCGGUAUCCGGAUGUACUGGGGGUAAAGGGAGCGUAGACGGGUAUGUAAGUCUGGAGUGAAAGCUCGGGGCCCAACCCCGGGACUGCUUUGGAAACUGUGUAACUGGAGUACAGGAGGGGCAGGCGGAAUUCCUGGUGUAGCGGUGAAAUGCGUAGAUAUCAGGAGGAACACCGGCGGCGAAGGCGGCCUGCUGGACUGAAACUGACGUUGAGGCUCGAAAGCGUGGGGAGCAAACAGGAUUAGAUACCCUAGUAGUC
rnacentral:rRNA from 1 species